UAGUGGCGACGGGUGAGUAACACGUGGGCAAUCUGCCCUUCACUCUGGGACAAGCCCUGGAAACGGGGUCUAAUACCGGAUAACACUCUGUCCCGCAUGGGACGGGGUUAAAAGCUCCGGCGGUGAAGGAUGAGCCCGCGGCCUAUCAGCUUGUUGGUGGGGUAAUGGCCUACCAAGGCGACGACGGGUAGCCGGCCUGAGAGGGCGACCGGCCACACUGGGACUGAGACACGGCCCAGACUCCUACGGGAGGCAGCAGUGGGGAAUAUUGCACAAUGGGCGAAAGCCUGAUGCAGCGACGCCGCGUGAGGGAUGACGGCCUUCGGGUUGUAAACCUCUUUCAGCAGGGAAGAAGCGAAAGUGACGGUACCUGCAGAAGAAGCGCCGGCUAACUACGUGCCAGCAGCCGCGGUAAUACGUAGGGCGCAAGCGUUGUCCGGAAUUAUUGGGCGUAAAGAGCUCGUAGGCGGCUUGUCACGUCGGAUGUGAAAGCCCGGGGCUUAACCCCGGGUCUGCAUUCGAUACGGGCUAGCUAGAGUGUGGUAGGGGAGAUCGGAAUUCCUGGUGUAGCGGUGAAAUGCGCAGAUAUCAGGAGGAACACCGGUGGCGAAGGCGGAUCUCUGGGCCAUUACUGACGCUGAGGAGCGAAAGCGUGGGGAGCGAACAGGAUUAGAUACCCUGGUAGUCCACGCCGUAAACGUUGGGAACUAGGUGUUGGCGACAUUCCACGUCGUCGGUGCCGCAGCUAACGCAUUAAGUUCCCCGCCUGGGGAGUACGGCCGCAAGGCUAAAACUCAAAGGAAUUGACGGGGCCGCACAGCAGCGAGC
rnacentral:rRNA from 1 species